AGCGAACGCUGGCGGCAGGCCUAACACAUGCAAGUCGAACGGAUCCUUCGGGAUUAGUGGCGGACGGGUGAGUAACACGUGGGAACGUGCCCUUUGGUUCGGAACAACUCAGGGAAACUUGAGCUAAUACCGGAUGUGCCCUUCGGGGGAAAGAUUUAUCGCCAUUGGAGCGGCCCGCGUCUGAUUAGCUAGUUGGUGGGGUAAAGGCCCACCAAGGCGACGAUCAGUAGCUGGUCUGAGAGGAUGAUCAGCCACAUUGGGACUGAGACACGGCCCAAACUCCUACGGGAGGCAGCAGUGGGGAAUCUUGCGCAAUGGGCGAAAGCCUGACGCAGCCAUGCCGCGUGAAUGAUGAAGGUCUUAGGAUUGUAAAAUUCUUUCACCGGGGACGAUAACGACGGUACCCGGAGAAGAGGCCCCGGCUAACUUCGUGCCAGCCGCCGCAGUAAAAC
rnacentral:rRNA from 1 species